UACGAGGGGGGCAAGCGUUGUUCGGAAUUAUUGGGCGUAAAGGGUGCGUAGGCGGUCUGACAAGUCUGAUGUGAAACCUAUGGGCUCAACCCAUAGUCUGCAUCGGAAACUGUCGGGCUGGAGUAUGGGAGAGGUGAGUGGAAUUUCCGGUGUAGCGGUGAAAUGCGUAGAUAUCGGAAGGAACACCUGUGGCGAAAGCGGCUCACUGGACCAUUACUGACGCUGAUGCACGAAAGCUAGGGGAGCAAACAGG
rnacentral:rRNA from 1 species